rnacentral:rRNA from 1 species
UACAGAGGGUGCGAGCGUUAAUCGGAAUUACUGGGCGUAAAGCGUGCGCAGGCGGUUUUGUAAGUCUGUCGUGAAAUCCCCGGGCUCAACCUGGGAAUUGCGAUGGAGACUGCAAGGCUAGAAUCUGGCAGAGGGGGGGUAGAAUUCCACGUGUAGCAGUGAAAUGCGUAGAGAUGUGGAGGAACACCGAUGGCGAAGGCAGCCCCCUGGGUCAAGAUUGACGCUCAUGCACGAAAGCGUGGGGAGCAACAGG